AUGGCUUUCUAAUUCUUUGUCAAACUGUUAUAUGUAGCUGAGAAUGCCAGAAAAUCAAAAGGCUACUUUGGAAGGAGGGUGAUGCUGACUGUUCCAAUAUUGUCUGUUCUUCUGCCAUUAGUACUGGUCAUUGGCUUAAGAGGAAAACAGAAGAGGCCGAUGAACUUGAGGAAACGAGGAGACACCCAGAAUUACAGUUUUUCAAUCUGAACACACUAAUAGAUGCCACGGAAAACUUCUCUCCAGACAAUGAACUUUUUUGGCUCAGUGUAUAAGGUAAGUUGCCUAUCACCAUCAUUGGGCAAUUUCUUCUUUGUAGUUGAAAAUGACGUCGUUCUGUUUCUCAGUGCUGGUCUAACCUUUUCUUUUACUCAAGUAAUAACACUAUAAUUACUCCUUAAAAGUGAUGAUGUGUAUUCAUUCUGAAUCAUAACUUCAGGGUUAGUUACCAGACAACAAGAAGAUUGCUGUAAAAAAAUUGUCCAAAAAUUCAGGACAAGGGAUUGAACAAUUCAAAAAUGAAUAGCUAGACUUCAACACAGGAAUCUUGUGAAACUGUUGGGAUGUUGUAUAAAGGAGAAGAAAGGAUGUUAAUCCUGGAAUACAUGCCAAACAAUAGCUUGGACUCCUUUC